CAGUCGCCGCGGUAAUACGAAGGGGGCUAGCGUUAAUCGGAAUUACUGGGCGUAAAGCGUGCGCAGGCGGUUCGUUAAGACAGAUGUGAAAUCCCCGGGCUUAACCUGGGAACUGCAUUUGUGACUGGCGAGCUAGAGUAUGGCAGAGGGGGGUAGAAUUCCACGUGUAGCAGUGAAAUGCGUAGAGAUGUGGAGGAAUACCGAUGGCGAAGGCAGCCCCCUGGGCCAAUACUGACGCUCAUGCACGAAAGCGUGGGGAGCAAACAGGAUUAGAUACCCCCGUAGUCCCUGUCUCUUAUAC
rnacentral:rRNA from 1 species